ensembl:lncRNA
AUGGGACUCAGCUUAGCAUUCCUGGAGAAGUUUUUCCAGACGCCAAGAAAAAUUAAAUUUUGCACGGUGGUUGGAGAGGAAAGCACAAGCCAACCAGAAGAGCACGAAGAGCUACAGAAAGUAACAUAUCUGAUAAACCUCGUCCAGACCGCAGAGGCAAGUCAUCAAACCCAACAUAGAUAUCCUCAUCUAUCUACUAUGGCACUGACAAGCCUACAUCUGUCAUGGGCUGUUUUUAUUCUCACCAUGUUUCUGCAGGUGGGCGUGUCUGGAGAGCAGGAGCAACGGCCAGCUGCAGCUCAUCUCCAAUCAUCCUCCUGGGUGUAUAGAAGAAGAAGAAGAAGAAGAGGAAGAGGAAGAAGAAGAGGAAGAAGAAUUAUUUUGCCGGAUGAUUACUCAACCUGGGAACCAUCUCCUCCAGCCAUCUCCAAGAACUUCUCAUCAGCUCCACUUAAUGCAGCUCCAUCUCCUGGCUGUACGCUCUCCACCACACCCCUACCGCCUAACCCUUUUAAACUCACCACACAGGAACUCUGGAUCUCGUCUUCAUCAAGACCCCUUUGCAACCCAUCUUCAUAAGACCAACCAGUGCUCCUUCGCACGCCCUCUAGUCACCUCCUUACAAACAUCCUGGUGUUGCAAGUCCGAGCAAUCGGUCAAGGCUUAGAAACAGUGGUCAGAGACAAGGGUCACACAAGGGUCAAGAGGACAAUAGUUCAGGACUUGCUGGUGAGGACAGAACUAGGCAAAGGGUCAAAAGACAAACUGUCUUCUCUGGAUCCACCCAUGGACACACCCCUGGGCCCGCCCCUAACUCCACCUCUGGCGGGAAAAGAAGGACUGGCAUGGAGUGAGGAAAGUCCAACUGGACCCAGAAGCUCUCAGGAAUGCUGGAGGAAGAUCUACAAUUUGCUACCAACAUGAAGAUUUAUGACCUGUGCUCUCAUUCCAGGAGUGCAGAAUGUAACUUUUGUGCCCUCAUGUGAAUACUGCAUGUAUUGAAAAUGAUACUAAAUGUCUUAUGUAGAGCUAAAAAAGUGUAUCUGGUAAAUGACCCCUUGACCUAAACUGUCAGGAGAGAAUGACUUGUGACUCUUACAUUGUUUAGAGCAGUCUCAGAAGUGAUAUAAAAGGAUGCAGCUCAGAUCGAGCGGGGCUUCGUUCUUGGGGAGAUUCUGAGAAGACAAGAGCUAGUGUAAACUAACUCUUAUUUAAUCAUUUUGAACUAAUUCCUCCGUGGGGGAUAGCAGUUGUUUUUCACUUUACCCAUUUUUGUAUUUUGAUUUUGUAAUAAACCUUUUUUGAAAAAGAAACAUAAUCCUGAUUCUUUCAGGUUUUCUCUAAAGCUUCACGUUUGGGGCCCUGGCCAUAAUUGCACAGAGGUAAGCAUGUCGAAGAUCGGUCUCUGAAUUAUCAGGACUUACUUUACAGUUUAUAACAGAAUAAUAUAAAGAAACCUUAAGAUAAGGGAAGUUUUAACUUCCCCCUCCUUGCGAGUAACGAGUUGUCUUAAGGGCGAUAAAAGCAAAAUAUUCGAGGUUAUUUUGGCUCUGAUUGCAGGUUGAAAAAGUCUCUAAUCAGCUGGAAGGUUGGAUUAAUAAAUAAAUUGAUAAACUUAUGAUAGCCUGAUCAACUAGCAUAAAUCAUUUUAUAGUUACCAACCUCCCACAUAAGCUGUUAGAGGCGCAAUUAAUUCCGGGUAAUCCAAACAAUUGCUGAGAGGCUUGGCUUGCCUCCAGACUUCUCUCUAGUAUCUUAACCAAAAGGUAACGAGUUUAAAAGAAGUGUAGUACUCUGGGGCUGGCUAUUCGUGCAAGUCAUUUCACCUUUAAAAUAAAAGACAAGAUUCUAAUUAGGUAGUCCAAACCCGGAUCUAGUACAAUUAUACUCGUCGAUACACCCCCGAACCCUGAUGGAUGCACCGUCUCAUAAGUUCUAACGGAACUGGGUUUUAAAGGAACCGGUAAAUGGGACGGGCACGCGACACUGGUACUUCCUGCAUCAGUUUGAGCAGCGCUUUGAGUUCUCCAUUCUAAAAUAAAUUAUUUACUUUCUUGCCUCCCUGUUUCCGCCUCUGAUUCUGCAUGUCGUGGGUCAAAAGAAUACCACAGAACAUGACAACAUCACCAUACCACUCCAAUCCCCACUGGAAAUAAAGAGCCUACGAAAGGGAAGACAAGAGAGAAAUUCAAGCCUUACUGCCCCUUUUGUAGCCGUACAGAACAUUAUUUGAGUUCCUGCUCCGACUUCAGUAAGCUGAGCACUACACAGAUUGUCACAUGGGUUAAUGACGAUAAGAGAUGCUGGAGAUGUGGUCGAAGUCAUCAGCCUGACAGUUGAAAUAUGAAGAAAGCUUGCGCCACUUGUGGAGAACAACACCUGCAGAUUCUACAUGAAGCAGCCUCCAGCUCAAACAAGAGUAUCCUGACACUGAGUACAGCUUCCAGUAUGGUGUAUCUGGACCAGGCCACCCAUUCAGGCCGAGUUAUGCUUAAAGUUGUCCCAGUUACCCUCCACAGUAAUGGACGAUCUCUGUCCACCUACGCCAUUCUUGACGAUGAAUUUUAAGGUUCUUCAAAUGGUUUUUAAGUGUCGUAACAGUCUUGGGCCUUAUCUCUCAGAACUGUUUUUACCAUAUGAACCCUCACGGCCUCUGCGUGCCUCUGGCAGGCGUCUCCUGGUCAUGCCUAAAAUCAGGACACACACUCAAUGCGAGGCGUCCUUCCAGUUUUACGGCCCUCGCCUCUGGAACGAUCUGCCGGAGGACCUCGGGGCCGCAGAGAACGUUCAUGUUUUUAAGUCCAGGCUCAAGACCCAUCUAUUUAGGUUAGCUUUUAUCUAAUUAUUUAUUAUAGUUUGAUUUCUUGUUUACGUGAUUAUAUUUUAUUGCUUGCUUUGCAUGUUUUAUAUGAUUAUAUUUUAGCAUUGUUCUAUUAUUUAAUAUUAUAAUUUUACUGUCUAUGAUUCUAUUUGUUACUUAUUUUCUUACUUUUGACAUUAAUAUUAGCUCUUUUAUUUUCAUAUUUUACUAAUUUUAAUCCAGUGUUUUCUCUGUAGGGGCCCUCUGCCACAGGGGCGGUGGUUGACUGUUGCUUCCUGGGCGCUCUAUAGGUGGUGUUUAAGAGGAGGUGGGGGUCCAUGCUCCCCCUCCUCUGAGCGCUCUGACUUAGUGUGGAAGACCUGAUGCUGCCGGGGCAGACGGCUCCUCUGAUGGCGUUUCCUUGCAUUACCUUACUUGGCUCAUCUGGACUCAGCCAAAUAUAAUUUUUUACUGAUGUGUGUGUGUGUCUGUUAAUGUUUUUAAACUGUUAUGGGAAUUUGGGGUCAUUUUGUAAAGCAAUUUGAGUAGCACUUUACUUGAAAAGCGCUUUAUAAAUAAAAUCUGAUUGAUAAAAUCUGAUUGAUGGUUCAGAACGGACCAUUGUUCUAUCAGCAGCAGUUCAUUAUCUGCAGUUAAAAUUAUGGAGGAGUCCCUCACACUUCGGACCAUCAGACAGGAGGUGUUGCAGUUACAAGGAGCAUCCAUUUCUUUCAAACUAAGUGUGUCCUGCUCUCCCCAAAUUAAACAUCACAACAAAAACGUUUUUGCUGAUGAAGAACUUAAUUUGGCCAAAUAAUCUUGUCCCGUGGACAUACUCUGUCAGAGAUACCCACAUCUGGUUGUCAUUCCCAUCAAAGCAUUUAAGGAUGUGCAGCCUAUGCUUCUUAUAGGCUCAGACAAUGCCCAGCUCAUCACCCCUCAGUCACCAGUCAAUCAAUGAAUCAAUCAAUCAAUCAAUCAAUCAAUCAAUCAAUCAAUCAAUCAAAGCUUUAUUUAUAUAGCGCCUUCCGCAACCCUGUCGGGUGGCCCAAGGCGCUGAACAUAGUACAUGACAAAGUUAACUGAACAUAGUACAUGACAAAGUUAAAUAUGGUGAAUAAAUCGAAAAUAAAAGCAGUUCAAAUUACAAAAAAGGUGAAACAUUCUAGUACAGGACAAAUGUGUAAAACAAUGGAUAAAGUGAACCAAUGAAAACUGUGAAAUAAAAUCAACAUUAAAGAUGGCCAAAUUCAAACAUGUUCAGGAAACGCCAAGUGGAGGAGGUGGGUUUUUAGGUGACUCUUAAAGACUGGCAGAGAUGGGGACAGCCUAACUGAGGGUGGCAACUGGUUCCAGAGUGACGGUGCUAGGACUGAGAAAGCCCGGUCCCC